rnacentral:rRNA from 1 species
GAUUCUUUCACUGUUCUCCAAGCGUCUUAUCAAGAUCUGCGGGAGAAUGAGGGAGGAUCCGUUUUCUUUCGAAAUGCUGUUUCCCACAACCGGGAUCUCCUUGAGGCGGAAAGCUCUACAAGGAGGUGCCUGGAAGUGGAACAGAGGAUCCGGUGGGAAGAAAUCCCCAAGAGCAAGGCAAGUCCCGAAAGAGCUGAGCACGAGCAUGCUCUCGACUUGUUUAAGUCGGAGGAUCUUAGAAGGGAAUUAGAAAAAAAAAGUGGGGUAGCUCAGUAA